rnacentral:rRNA from 1 species
GACGAACGCUGGCGGCGUGCUUAACACAUGCAAGUCGAACGGAAAGGCCCUGCUUUUGUGGGGUGCUCGAGUGGUGAACGGGUGAGUAACACGUGAGUAACCUGCCCUUGACUUUGGGGUAACUUCAGGAAACUGGGGCUAAUACCGGAUAGGAGCUCCUGCUGCAUGGUGGGGGUUGGAAAGUUUCAGCGGUUGGGGAUGGACUCGCGGCUUAUCAGCUUGUUGGUGGGGUAGUGGCUUACCAAGGCUUUGACGGGUAGCCGGCCUGAGAGGGUGACCGGCCACAUUGGGACUGAGAUACGGCCCAGACUCCUACGGGAGGCAGCAGUGGGGAAUAUUGCACAAUGGGCGGAGGCCUGAUGCAGCAACGCCGCGUGCGGGAUGACGGCCUUCGGGUUGUAAACCGCUUUCGCCUGUGACGAAGCGUGAGUGACGGUAAUGGGUAAAGAAGCACCGGCUAACUACGUG